UGGGGAAUAUUGGACAAUGGCGAAAGCCUGAUCCAGCAAUGCCGCGUGAGUGAUGAAGGCCUUAGGGUUGUAAAGCUCUUUUACCAGGGAUGAUAAUGACAGUACCUGGAGAAUAAGCUCCGGCUAACUCCGUGCCAGCAGCCGCGGUAAUACGGAGGGAGCUAGCGUUGUUCGGAAUUACUGGGCGUAAAGCGCACGUAGGCGGCGAUUCAAGUCAGAGGUGAAAGCCCGGGGCUCAACCCCGGAACUGCCUUUGAAACUAGAUUGCUAGAAUCCUGGAGAGGUGAGUGGAAUUCCGAGUGUAGAGGUGAAAUUCGUAGAUAUUCGGAAGAACACCAGUGGCGAA
rnacentral:rRNA from 1 species